CCUGACUAUCUCACAAGUAGAGCCGUCUGAUUCAGCAACAUACUACUGUGCUAUUAUACACUACAAUGAGGUCACCUUUGGAAAUGGAACUACUUUAAUGUUGACAGGGCCAGAGUCCCAGAACAGGACAGUAGUUCUCCAGCAGCUCGAGUCUGAGUCAGUGCAGCCAGGAGACUCUGUGACUCUGCAGUGUACAGUGCACACUGAGACCUGUGCAGGAGAACACAGUGUGUACUGGUUCAGACAGGCCUCAGGAGAGUCCCCUCCAGGAAUCAUUCACACCCAUGGACACAGGAGUGAUGAGUGCCAGAGGAGCUCUGGGACUGUGUCUCCCACACAGAGCUGUGUCUACAACUUCCCCAAGAGGAACCUCAGCCGCUCUGAUGCUGGGACUUAUUACUGUGCUGUGGCCACCUGUGGGGAGAUCCUGUUUGGGAACGGGACCAAGCUACAUGUUGAGGGUUGUGAUUUAUCCAGGCUCGUCUGGCUCUCGAUCAUAAGGACUGGAGUUCUGUGUUGCAUCUUGCCCACAUUUGUCCUGAUCUAUUGCAAAAGGACAUAAAUAAUAAAGUUACUAUG